rnacentral:lncRNA from 1 species
CUUUUUUUUCUUUUUUUCUUUUUUUUUUUUUUUGAGACAGUCUCGCCCUGUCACCCAGGCUGGAGUGCACUGGCACAAUCUCAGCUCACUGCAACCUCUGCCUCCCAGGUUCAAGCAAUUUUCCUGCCUCAGCCUCCUGUGUAGCUGGUACUACAGGUGCCAGCCACCACACCCGGCUACUUUUUGUAUUUUUAGUAGAGACGGAGUUUUUCCAUGUUGGCCAGGCUGGUCU